UUUUUGCCUCUUACUGUAACCAGUCUGCUGCCCCAUUGGGUUUGUUUGGCGUUGUAGUCUCCUCCAGCUAUGAAUCUAUUGCCCAGGGUGUCCAGAAAAUUGUCAAAGUCUUCUUUGGCGAUGGAGUGUCUGGGAGGGCAGUAUACAGCUGAAGUGAUGAUUGUACCAUGACAGUCUUCUAUUGCUACGUUUGUUGCUUGGAGGUAGUCUUUCUGGAAUGGUGGAAGUUCGUAGUGCUUAAUGCUUGAUUUGAUUAUGAUUCCGGUGCCGCCGUGGGCCUUUCCGCUGGUGUGUUGGGUAUGGUAGAACUUGUAUCCGUUUAUGUUCAGGUAGUUUUUGUCGGUGAAGUGGGUUUCAGAUAUGAGCAUUAUGUCGAUUUGCUGGUGUUGGGUGUGGUAGAAGUUGUAGCUGUGUAUUUUGAGGUAGUUUUUGUCGGUGAAGUGGG
rnacentral:misc_RNA from 1 species